UCGUUGUCGCUACUGGGUUCUUCGUCAGCGCUGCUGCAGACGAGAAGAGAAAGAGAGAAUGCCAGCGCGAGAGAAGAGGAGGAGGGGCGCUGUCUCGCGCCGUCACUGUCACGCCUUGUUGUCGCAGCUAUGGAGACCGCCACCGUUGUUGGAAUCGCGAACUGAGGAGAAAGGGAGAGCGACGCUGAGAGAGAUUGACUUAAGCCAGUGAAGCGCGUGAGGGAAGGGGAGCCGAAUACCGUCACUGCCACCGCACCCAGUCGUCACCGGUGGAGCUCGCCGUCCCUGGAGGUGAAUCGGUGUCGCGUCCUUGCUGCCAAUAGUAGGGUUUGAAUGUGGAGUUUGAAUCCAAGAACAAGAAGCUCAGUGAGGAUCUUGCUGCUGCUAAAGCUAAGAUGGUAGUAGCUGUUGGUACCAGUGGCAAGAGGCAAUUGGGGAACGCCAGAGCCCCAAAUUCAAAGACAUACAAAAACUCAUUGCUGAGAAAGAAAGUCUCCACCAAACCAGUGCUUGCCACCAUCAAUGCCGUCAGCCUUUGGCAAAGAGCCCAAACCCCCCCCACCACAACACACACACACACACUUGUUGAAUUAUGUCACUCCUUAAAGAAUCAUGAUAUGAAGAGAGACGUAAAAGGGCCUCUGAAUCAUCUGCAACCGGUAGCGAUUAUUUGCACACAGUAGCAUUGUUGGAGAAAUUCAGAACCGUUCAGCUCAUCUUUUAGCAGUUAAGUAUUGUGUGAUUAUUACACUUUCUAGUUCCUGUUUCUUUUUUCACCUCAAAAUUAUGUACUGCUAG